UAAAUAUGAUGAUUUGCUUUUGGUCCGUGUUUAUGAGUCUUUGUGAUUUGUAUUUCAAAAGCACUGAUAUU